rnacentral:rRNA from 1 species
UAGGGAAUCUUCCACAAUGGACGCAAGUCUGAUGGAGCAACGCCGCGUGAGUGAAGAAGGUCUUCGGAUCGUAAAGCUCUGUUGUUGGUGAAGAAGGAUAGAGGCAGUAACUGGUCUUUAUUUGACGGUAAUCAACCAGAAAGUCACGGCUAACUACGUGCCAGCAGCCGCGGUAAUACGUAGGUGGCAAGCGUUGUCCGGAUUUAUUGGGCGUAAAGCGAGCGCAGGCGGAAUGAUAAGUCUGAUGUGAAAGCCCACGGCUCAACCGUGGAACUGCAUCGGAAACUGUCAUUCUUGAGUGCAGAAGAGGAGAGUGGAACUCCAUGUGUAGCGGUGGAAUGCGUAGAUAUAUGGAAGAACACCAGUGGCGAAGGCGGCUCUCUGGUCUGCAACUGACGCUGAGGCUCGAAAAGCAUGGGUAGCGAACAGGAUUAGAUACCCUGGUAGUCCAUGCCGUAAACGAUGAGCGCUAGGUGUUGGGGACUUUCCGGUGCCUCAGUGCCGCAGCAAACGCAUUAAGCGCUCCGCCU